rnacentral:lncRNA from 1 species
CUAUCUGAAUCUUUCUCACAACAAACUAAUAGGCGGUCUUGAGCAACUGCCUUGGGGUUAUAUUAAUUAUCUUGAUCUCCAAGACAAUAAGCUGAAUGGAUCGUUGCCCACCUUGAUGUGUAAUUCCAGCUCUCUUGAGAUUCUAAAUCUCUCUCACAACAAUUUGAGUGGUGUACUCCCCAUUUGUCAUACAAAUUUGACUCAGCUUUCGGUGUUGGAUCUGCGGAGGAAUAAAAUUCAAGGAAACAUUCCAGCAACCUUGUCAAAUUUCCAUAAUCUGGAAACCAUUAAUAUGAAUGGAAACCAAUUACAAGGAAGCAUUCCUUCUUCAUUUGCUGAAUUUGAUUCUUUAGCCGUUCUUGAUCUUGGAAAUAAUCAGAUAAAUGAUACAUUCCCCCGGUGUUUGGAAGCUCUUCCAAAUCUCCAAGUUCUUGUUCUCAAAUCUAACAAGUUUUGUGGUCUUAUAAACACGAGUUCUAAGAUUGUACACCCAUUUCCUAGCUUGAGAAUCAUUGAUCUGUCGGACAAUGAGUUUUCAGGUCCACUGCCAGCAAAAUACUUCAGAAACUUCAAGGCUAUAAUGAAUAGUGAUGUAAGCAAAAUAGAUCGUAGUUAUAUGAAUCAUAGUUUCUAUUACAGUGAUUCCACGGCUCUGGUGAUUAAAGGAGUAGUCAUAGAGUUGGUAAAGAUAUUAACUAUUUUUACAACCAUGGAUGUGUCAAGGAACCAGUUUGAAGGGGAGAUUGUAGAAUCAAUUGGAAAUCUGGUGUCACUUAGAUAUCUCAAUUUAUCACAUAAUCAUCUCAGAGGCCACAUACCACGGUCGAUUGGAAAAUUGACUGUGCUGGAGUCACUAGACCUCUCAUCCAAUGAACUUGAAGGAGAAAUUCCUCCGCAACUCACUGGUUUAUAUUCACUUGCAGUUCUAAAUCUUUCUUGCAACCAACUUAGAGGCCGUAUACCAGAAGGGUCACAAUUCAAUACGUUUGAAAUCUACAGCUACGCCGGGAACUUUGAAUUGUGUGGAAAACCCUUGUCAAAAAAGUGUGAAAAUUAUGUGAGGGUACACAAAGAAGACGAAGAAGAUGAGGAUGAAUAUUACUUUUUCAGUGGUUUUACAUGGGAAGCGGUGGUGAUUGGAUAUGGGUUUGGAGUGGUGCCUGCAUUUAUCGCCGGGUACUUGAUGUUGCUGGCACGGAAACCAAAAUGGUUUGCUGGAAUCAUUGGCAGGGAAUUGGGCCUCAAGAUCAGGAGGAUGGAGAUUAGAAUGCGAUAACUACAGGUUUGGUGUAAUCUGUAUCCCAUUCCCAGGUCUUGAAAAUUCUGUAAUAAUAUAGUAAUAUCUGCUCUCAUAUAAUUCUAUAUUUGCAGAUUCAGAUGGGACAAGCAGGAUUCAGAUGCAUUGCAUUGGAUUCAGAUGGGACAAGCAGGAUACAAGUUAUGUAGUAUUGUUUUGUUCCAGCUCUUAUCUGAUCUGCAAUCAAGUUAAUGAACCACUACCUCAGUUGUUAAGCAUCUUUCAGCAUUUUAAUUUUACAACUCACAAUAAAAGAUUACAUGUGUAUUAAUCUGAUCAUCAUUGGUUUAGAUCAAUAUAGAAGUUCGGCUUUGUUUAUUUCUAUCCCGGGCUCCUCAUUUUUAGAACAUAUUUGUUGAUACUUUUUAUGGAACGGUUAAGAAUAUUCCAUAGAUUUUUAUAUUCAGUGCUAGAUGAUUUUAUGUCCUGUUUUCAUUCCAAUUUCCGUUCAUGAACUAAUUAAAAAUCUGAAAGUGGGUCAUAUCUGGCAGUGAUGCCCACCUUUCUGGACCUGAAUUUCAUGACCACACAAACUCCAAUUCUGCCCAAAAAUUGCAGCUGUUUCGUAAAAUAUUUUUACGUGCUCUUUUGUUUGGACUUGUUUGCUGGACCAUGCAUAUGUUUUGAUACAAACAUCUUCGUGUAUGUUAACACUCUUGUGUCAGUUUCUGGACUCAUUGUUAGUAGCCCAUUCUUUACGGCAGACAUUGAAUUGGAUUUACUUGAAGAAAUGAAGGUUUAAGAAAGUUGAGAACAAUUUGUUGAUAAUUUCCUUCCCUAGAAACUGCACUCCAGCAUCAAAGUACCUUUCAAAGACUCCAGACAUCAUCUCUUGAUUAUCGAAGACUUGGUCUUGCAUAUACUGAUAUACAGUGAAUAUAGAUUUCUUUCAUUUCCUUGAAAUUGCAUUUUUGGAAGUAGCUCUCCAGACUCAUUCCCGUCACUUCUUAAAGUCUUAUUCCUCCUCAAUACUACAUACACGUAAUAUCACACCACUUUGCUCAUGCUCAGAUGGGUUUUUCUUACAAACCACAUAUGUUCACUUCUCAGAGUCUUAGUCCUCGUCAAUGUAUAGAGAUAAUAUCUCACCAUUUGCUAGUGCUACAAAUGGGCUUCUCCUACAACCACACAUAAUCGGAGAAAAGUCUGUCAAGUGUCAAGUGGACUUGAAAGACCCUUGUGCAUGGAUUAUUGUAUGUCAUGAAUGCCUUCUGAUAUCCCUGAAAGUGCAAGCAAGUUAUAAAAGUAGCUGGGCAGACUCUUUCUCAUCAAUACAUUCACAUUUAAAGCGGGCGUUGAUAUGCCUCCCUAAUUUUCUAAUGCCCUAGACGGAAUUCUAUUACAAUCCACAUAUGAUGGGUAGCGAUCAUCAAUUCAAAGAAGAGACUAUCAGCAGCUUGCAGGAAAUGUCCCCUCUGCAUGGAUUAUCGAAGAAAGGAACUUAUACCUAUAAAGAUGUAGAAAACCAAUGGUAAGCAUAACUGCAUAUAAGAUACAAAACUAAAUUUAAUACAAGACUCGUUCUGAGCAUUGGAAAAUAUAAUUCAUCCUGGUCUUCGUCUUCUACUUCUCCAAAUAUGCUUUUAUUGCAGCCAAUGUAUUAGUGAAAAGAAUUAAAUUUAAAUUAAUUGUAGACCGCAAAUAUAAGAUUAGGAGAGUUUCUACAACCCACAAAUUAGUAGACAGACUAAUAUGGUUAGUUGAGACCAUCAAUCUGGAGAAACUGUUUCUACAAUGACCCAUAUGUAUGAAUUAUUGAAGAAAGAAACUUAUACCUACAAUGUAAAGGAAAUGGUCACGAGUAUAUUGCAUUUUUAAUCCAAAUUGUAUAUGAUUCUCUCUGUGCUACUGAUAGUUAAUAAUAAAUCUACAACGGAACUUGCAGUUAAUCAAGGUAUUUAAGUCUACCUUUCUACAUUGUUGAAUAGUUUGAAUUAAAUAAUUGUAAUAAAUUUUUUGCUGGAUGCUGUGUGAGUUUACCAGAGCUUAUCACGGUGAGAAGUUCACUAAAGCUCUUGGAAUUAGUAAAUAAAAACUCAGGGCAGUGAAUUAGAAGUCUGAGUACAAGGCAAUGAGCAGGAAACAACAUAGGGAGUUUACAACUAGAAGUAUCUAUUCUCCCCCAGUCUUUUUGUGAACAUCAAGAGGCCAUUCAUAUUGCUCACAAACCAGUUAAAAGUGGCAGGACUACACAUAAUGAAUCACACAGUCACUUUAUGUGAGAAAAGAAAAUUGUCAGGACUGCAAUGCAUUUCUAGCCCAUUUUGUACAGCAGCUCAAACGUUUAAAAAACUUCAUUAAUUAUUUUCUUUUAUUGAAACCACACUCAUCCAUCAAAGUAGCUCUCAAAGUCUAAUUUCCAUCACCUUCUGAUUCUCAAAGUCUUCUUCUUCGUCUUAUAUUGCACGCCACAUAUUAGUAGACAUACUACAUCAACUCUGUAGAAAGAAACAAUCUAUAGUAGUUGAUGUACAAUGUUAUUAUGUAAAUGUAUAAUAUCAAAAUUAGGAAUAGAAAUCACGCCCUAAUAAUUAACCCUCUGCAGGGGUUAUUAAAGAAAGCAGCUUAUAACUUUAGUUGCUGAACAUUUGUGUGGGCCAAAUUCAAUUUUACACAUCAUUACUAGAUUUACACAUGGUAUUAGACAUCAGUACUAGUAUAAGAUGUUAAUCAAGUUUUGGAAUUUCUUUUAUUUCAGAAAACAAGUUUUUAACUCUCUUUUUUUUUUGUGGUAUUAAUUAUUUAUAUCACGCAUUUGAGCUUUAAAAUUAGCUCUAAAUAAAAGUUGAUUUUCGCUCAAAGAAACAAUGAUGUAUAAGAAGAUUUUCAGAACUGAAUUAUUUCUUUCCAUUUUUACAGUUCCAUUCAAGAACCGAAAGCAGCUCACAAAGACUCACUACAUCAUCUUUCAAUUCUCAUAGUGUUGGUCUUUGUCUUCUGCUGCUCAAAAAUUCUAUUACAGCCCACAUAUCAGUAUCAUAUACCUAAUUAUAAAUAGUAUUUAACACUUAACACCAUUAAAGAUUUGUCUCAGAGACUUACUUCCAUCACCUUAUGGUUCUCAAACUCUUCGUCUUCUAAUGCUCCAAAAGUUCUAUUAGUGCAGGCCACAUAUUGGUAAACAGACUACAAUUCAUCCAAAAUGACCCUCUUAUUGGACACUUUGAACACCUCUGUCUGUAUAUGCAUUGGAGAAGAAUUAUCAGCUCGUUAAAAUAACCUCUUCGCAUCAACUCUAUGGAAAGAAGCAAUUCAUACCUAAAGUACAAUGUUUGGAUAAAAUUAGGGAUAGCAACCGCACGCUAAUUUUUUAGUUGAAGCAGGCUACCUUAGUGUAAUUAACUGAACAUCCCCGUAAUUUCUUGACAGGCCACAAUUAAGGAAGUUUACAGAAUUACAUUCCAGAAGUAGCUCCCUGAGACAGAUUCGCAUCAUCUUUCAAUCUUCAAAGUUCUUUAUACUUAUAUUAUAUUUCAUGUUUUAUUGUAAUGAACAUAGCAGUUUCCUGUUCAGUAAUAUUCCAGGCUCAGGUUCUUCAUUCCAAGUCUCUGUUACAUGUUUGCUACUAAAACGUAUUAAACAGUUAUUAGUUUAUGACUGUAUUCCAUCUUGAAAGGAGAUCUCAAAGACUCAUUCCCAUAAUCUUCAGAAUCUCAAGUCUUGAUGAACUUGGCCUUCAUCAUAUUUGUACUCUUGUAAUUCCAUAUUAAUCAAGUUUAAAUAUUAAAAUUUUUAAUUUUAGUAAAUUUGUAAAAAUAGUAAAAUUUGUCUUAUUUAUAAUAUUUAUAAAUCUCUUACUUUCCUGUUACUGUAUUCAACUUAAUAAUUUUUACAAACACUGUGCAUCACAUAAGUUAUGUAAAUUUAGAACAAAUUAUGUCCAAUUUAUUUAAGAGAGAUUGUUAUAUUGUUUUUACUUUAAAAUUAAUGGUAUCUUUUAUUUUUAAUAUAAUUUACAGCUAAAAAUAUUUGAUAUAUUUUCACACUGCUUCUUAUUUUUGUAAUAUGACUAAACAUAUCUUAAAUACACUUUUUUCCUAUAUAUAUGCUAGCCUCUCGAGAUGUUGAAUAGAUCAUCCCAAACAAAAAAAUUUAAGGGAAAUAGAAAAUGAGGAAUUCCAUCCUCUGUUUUUCCACCAUCAGUUUGUUGCUCAUCUUCCUGCAGUUGCAGCACAACCUAGUGGCUUCUUCAUUAAGUCCCCACUUGCAGAAACUUGCCUUGUUCCACUUUAACCAAACCUUAACAAUCAGUACUACUAGCUGGGAUUGCGAGUACUAUUCCUACGAUGGAUAUUACGAAAUUCCUUCACGGGCAAAGACAAAGAAUUGGAGCAUGAGUUCCGAUCACUGCACAUGGGAGGGAGUUAGCUGCGACGACAAGACAGGGGACGUUAUCGGACUGGAUUUAAGUUGCAGUCAGCUGGAAGGAGCCAUUCUUUCUAACAGCACCCUCUUCCAGCUCUCUCAACUCCGCUUCCUCAAUCUUUCUCACAACGGCUUUUACAAUCAGUUCCCUCAGGAAUUUGGUUUCUUUGCAAAAGGUUUGACGCAUCUCAAUCUCUCUCGUACUGGAUUAUCAGGGAGAGUUCCCUCUGGAAUCUCUCAUUUGUAUAAACUGGUCUCACUUGAUCUCGGUCGCAACUAUAGGGCUUGGGCUAAACUUGAAGAAGAAGUGUUUAAAUCACUGUUGCAGAAUUUAACUCAUCUUGAAGUGCUUAAUCUUGAAGGGGUUAGCAUCUCCUCUGUUUUGCCCCUGAAUAUCUCUACUUCUUUAAGAUUUCUUGCUCUUGCGGGAACUGAAAUACACGGAGUAGUACCUCAAGAGGUUUUCCACCUUCCCAACUUGGAAUUUCUUCGUUUAUCAUAUAAUGACCACCUGAGAGUAACAUUACCCAAAGUUAAGUGGGGAAGUAGUGCUACUCUCCAACACCUUCAACUUUCAGGCGUCAACAUAGAUGGAGGUAUGCCUGACUCAAUAGGCUUUUUGGAGUCAUUAGUCAGUUUACAUCUGAUCCAGUGUAAUUUGUCUGGGCCGAUACCAAAAUUCAUUGGGCAACUCGUUCAACUUACUCACUUGGGCCUGGCUGCUAAUAAUCUCAGUGGCCCAAUUCUAACUUUUUUAACACGCCUUGCAGACUUCAGAUCUAUCUUCCCUUGAGCAUAACAAUUUUACUGGUCCGUUUCCCUCUUUUCUUGCCCACUCCAGUAAACUAGUUGAGUUGUAUCUUCAUAAUAAUAGCUUUACUGGAUCCCUACCUCGUUCGUUGUUUCACCAUCCAUCCUUAGAGAUCUUGAAUCUGGCAUAUAAUGCAUUCACGGGUCCACUACAUGAAUUUCAUUCUUCUUUGUCACGAUUGCGAUCUUUUUAUUGUUCCAGCAAUUUACUCAAUGGAUCCAUUCCACAUUCAUUUUCUCAACUUGUGAAUCUCACUGAACUAGAUCUUUCAUCAAACAAUUUCACCGGGGUUUUGGAUUUGGAAAUGUUUUCAGGCCUCAAAUCUCUAGGAAUUCUUCAUCUUUCUUAUAAUAGUCUUUCAGUGAGAACUACAACUAUGGCCACUCUCCCUCCUACGCUUAACGACUUGGCCUUGUCAUCUUGCAACAUGAAAGAGUUUCCUCACUUUUCAAGAGAUGCAAACAUCUUCCUCGAUUUUGUAGACCUAUCAAACAACAAAAUUGAAGGGGAAAUUCCACACUGGAUUGGGUCGGUGGGGAGGUACCCUUUCUAUCCAAUCCAUUAUCUGAAUCUUUCUCACAACGGACUAAUAUGCGGUCUUGAGCAACUGCCUUGGAGUCAUGUUGAAUUUCUUGAUCUCCAAUACAAUAAGCUGAAUGGAUCAUUGCCCACCUUGAUGUGUAAUUCCAGCUCUCUCCGGGUUCUAAAUCUCUCUCACAACAAGUUGAGUGGUGUACUCCCCAUUUGCCAUACAAAUUUGACUUCGCUUCGCGUGUUGGAUCUGCGGAGGAAUAAAAUUCAAGGAAACAUUCCAGCAACCUUGUCAAAUUUCCGUAACCUGGAAACUGUUAAUUUGAAUGGAAACCGAUUAGAAGGAAGCAUUCCUUCUUCUUUUGCUGGAUUUGAUUCUUUAGCCGUUCUUGAUCUUGGAAAUAAUCAGAUAAAUGAUACAUUCCCCCAGUGUUUGGAAGCUCUUCCCAAUCUCCAAGUUCUUGUUCUCAAAUCAAACAAGUUUUAUGGUCUUAUAAACACGAGUUCGAAGAUUGUACACCCAUUUCCAAGCUUGAGAAUCAUUGAUCUGUCGAAAAAUGAGUUUUCAGGUCCACUGCCAGCAAAAUACUUCAGAAACUUCAAGGCUAUGAUGGAUAGUGAUGUAAGCAAAAUAGAUCGUAGUUAUAUGAAUUAUGGUUCCUAUUACAGUGAUUCCACGACUCUGGUGAUUAAAGGAGUAGACAUGGAGUUGGUAAAGAUAUUAACUAUUUUUACAACCAUGGAUGUAUCAAGGAACCAUUUUGAAGGGGAGAUUGUAGAAUCAAUCGGAAAUCUAGUGUCACUUAGAGAUCUCAAUUUAUCUUACAAUCAUCUCACAGGCCACAUACCACGCUCGAUUGGAAAAUUGACUGUGUUGGAGUCACUAGACCUCUCAUCCAAUGAACUUGAAGGAGAAAUUCCUUCGCAACUCACUGGUUUAUAUUCACUUGCAGUUCUAAAUCUGUCUUGCAACCAACUCAGCGGUCAUAUUCCACAAGGUUCUCAGUUUAAUACAUUUGAUGCUGAUAGCUAUGGUGGUAACUUCGGGCUGUGUGGAAAUCCAUUGUCCAAAACGUGUGAACAAGAUAUUGUGGAGCAAGAAGACGAAGAAGAUGAGGAUGAAUGUCACUUUUUCUGUGGUUUUACUUGGGAAGCGGUGGUGAUUGGAUAUGGGUGUGGAGUAGUGCCUGCAUUUAUCAGUGGGUACCUGAUGUUGCUGGCACGGAAACCAAAAUGGUUUGCUGGAAUCAUUGGCAGGGAAUUGGGGCUCAAGAUCAGGAGGAUGGAAAUUAGAAUGCGAUACUAAAGGUUUGCUGUAAUCUGUAUCACAUUCCCAGGUCUUGAAUAUUCUGUAAUAAUAUAGUAAUAUCUGCUAUCAUAUAAUUCUAUAUUUGCAGAUUGGAGAGGCAUGAACAUUUUGGCAUGUAAGUUGAUGGGACAAGCAGAUUCAGAUGCACUGGAAUCAACCACUACUUCAGCUGUUUUGCAUCCUUUGUCAUUUUAAAUUUUACAUUUUAUAAUAAAAGUCAAAAAGAUACAAGUUCCAUGGACAAGUUCUGUAUUGUGUAGUUCCAGGGCUCCUUUCAAUUUCUAACCACCCUGGACAACUUCUUUACAAAACUAACCACCCUUUUUUUCACUUCACAAAACUGACCACCCUAAAUCCUUGGCGAACAUUACAUGAAAUCCCUUAUAUGUUCGCCCCUGUCAAGGGCGAACAUUACUAAAAAAAUUUAUAUGUUCGCCCCUCCCAAGGGUGAAGAUAUAAGGGCUUUAAACUUCCCAUUUACCUCGUAUCAUUUGCACAUAUAAUGAGUUUAUUUCAUUUUUAAAAAAAUGUAGAUAUAAAAAAUACUGAAAAUUCGUUUAUUUGAUUUAAAAAAAAUGUACCUAUAAUUGGUUGUUUUGUAAAUAUUGAAAUAAUAUUAUUUUAUUGAUUAAAAAUGUCAUGAGUUGAAGUGAUAAUUGAGUAAAUUUAUUUUAGUUUAAUUGGCAUAAUGAGUUGAAGUGAUAAUUGAGCAAUUUUAUUCAUAGAGAAUAUUAAAACAACGAUAAUACGACUUAAACUGAAAAGGAGAAAACAAUCACGACGAAAAUACAGACCACUUAAUUUUCCAACCAAAUAUUAGAAAAUUUUAAAAUUUCAUUGACCGCAUAGACACAAUAUUUAUUUUUAAAAUUUUAUUUUUGCAAAUAAAAAUUUAAAUAUGAAAUUUUCGUUGACAAAAGAAAAAAUUAAAAAAUAAAUUUCGGAACUUGACGGUCAAUGCACCUUAAAUUACGUGCCGAAAGUCUAACUGGCUCAUCUAAUUUGAGAAGGAGGGAGUAGUAGGCUUGCAAAAUUUCGUAUUAGCAUUAAAUAUUAAAAAUUCAUCGUAUUAAACUACUCAUAAAUACGAAUCUAACAAGAUCACUCAAGACUAUAUUUAGUCUUAUUGACAUCAUAAACAUGAAAAAAAAAAAAAACGAGGCAAUAUAUUUUAGAUAAUAUAAAUAUAAANCGAGGCAAUAUAUUUUAGAUAAUAUAAAUAUAAACAGAUAUAAGGUUUUGAGAGCAAGACACAAAAAAUAUGUUUCCCUUGGUCUCAAGUCUCAACUGCAAGACACCAUAAAAUGAUAGAAAUAGAUGUGUGGGGUAGGUAAGCCUCAGUCAGCUAGCCAACAACUAUGUUCGCCCUUACGGGGGGCGAACAUAGUGGUGUUUUUGUGUGGUGUUCGCCCUUGCCAAAGGCUCAAAUCAAUUAUUUCAGCAGCCAUGUUCGCCCCUGAUGUAUAUGAAUUAAGGUGGUUAGCUUUGUGAAUUGAAAAUUUGGGUGGUUAGUUUUGUAAAGAUUGUGUUUAAAGUGGUUAGUAAAUUGACGGAGCCUAGUUCCAGCCUCAGGCUGUUCCUUACUAAAACAUGUUUUCUGAUGCUUUAUAAUGUACAAUUUACAAUAUAUCAAAGUUUGUAAUAUACAGUACCAGAUGAUUUUAUGGCCUGAUUAUCCUUAAUCGCUUUCAUGAACUAAUGGAAAUUUGUAAAAGCGGGUUACAUUUGCAGCGAUGCCGCUAUUUUUCCUGAAUUUCCCUAGUUGUGAAGAUUGUCUAAAUCAUGUUAGAGUCGCUGCCAUCAGUGAAUGCAUUCAACGGCUUACGGAAAUUAGUAGAGAUACUAAAGUUGUUUGUUGAUAGAAUAGAAGAUGACAGAGUGUCCAUGCGUCAUUUUAAGGAUCGAGAUGUGUAGCUGUGACUUGUAUUUAUAAAAUUUCACAAGAUGCUUUACAAUGGUAGCAGAGGAGGGCUGGGGAUCCACAAGAUGUGAAUUUGUGUUAUUAGAAACGAAUUUUGUUGUAGGGGGAUUUAUUGAAUUAGUUCGAAGCACUCAAGUAGAAUUGGUUGUAGCAGAGCAAGAAGCUGAGCACGACCAUAAGAAUUUGAACUCUUGAGGCAAAUUUUAUCUCUAAUUGUAAGCCUUCCACUAGACAGCAAGGUUAGAAGAAAGAUUGAGUCGAUGUGUGGAUAUAAAAUUAGGAAUACUAUUACCUCUGACGCCCAUGACAUAUCGAUGAGGCAUGAAAGUUGGGAACAGGGGACGAUUGGCGUAUUGGAAUGGAAGUAGAAAACUUCUUCAGAGCUUGAUGCUCUCGAAGAUACAAUCUGAUGAGAAAGCAUAACGAUGAUCAUGACUCUGCCCUUACUCUAAAUCAGUAAGAUCAACCUCUCUACACAAUUCACUAAUACCACCUCUUUAUAACAUUUUCACUCCUAGGUGAUGAAUAAAGUAUCAUGAAACAUAUUUUGUAUAAUGAAUUAUAUUUUUUAUUAUAUUCCUUUUUUAAAAUAUAUUGCAUAUUACACUGCUUUUUAAUUCUAUUUGAAGCAUUUAAUUAAUUUUUAGCUGUAAUUUAACUUUCAAGGUAGCAUUAUCAGCAUGAGGAAUAGGCAGAGCUUCCAGAUGCUCUCUUCUGAUAGAUAUCAUUCAGCACUUGCUCUGAGUUUGUUGAUCAACCAGGCGACUUUCAACAUUUCACAUUUUUAAGCAUUUAAUUAAUUAAUCAUCAGUCUUGUAUUUAGCUUGAUCGAAAAUAAUUGCUCUCUUCGAUUUAUUUGCCUACUUGUCGACGUGUUUAUGUAGCGUGUCUCUACUCUGUAGCUUACACAUCAUUGAUUCAUAUUAUUUUCUCCUUAGGAACUUGAGAGACAUUUGGCAUCAAAAGAAGCUUCUCUCCCGCAAGAACCAUUUUCCCCUUAUGACAUUUUGGUGUUGGUGAGAGUGCAGCGACUUUUGAUGAACUUGGCCUGUCUGGCAGACAGGAGGCCCUGUUUCUAGAGUUAAUAUAGCAGAUAUAGUUAUUGUAAAAUUGUAAUAGGAUCUCGAAGAGUUUACCCAGAUGGACCAACUUUGUUUGUUAGUUGGAUGUAAAAGUUGUUUAGAGAUGGGUAUUUUGUCGAAGUUUGUAUCUAUUGGGUAUUUCGUCUUUUAGUCAGACUAUGGCUCAUACAGUUUCAUACAGUUUGAAGUUGAUAUCAAAUCUUAGAUUAAAUUACUGAACAUUGUUUCUUGAAUUCGAUAUCGAAUUUUAACCGAAAAUAUGUUCAGUUCUAAUUUAAAAGUUAUGCAAAUUACAUUAAUAAUAUUAUGUAAUUCUUGAAUAUUCUGUAAUAACAUAGUACUAUUUGUCUCUCAUUUAAUUCUAUAUUUGCACCUGUGGACGUUAACAGAUUGGAGAGGCAUGAACAUCUUGGCAUGUAAGUUGAUGGGACAAGCAGGGUUCAGAUUCAUUGGAAUCAACCACUACUUCAUCUGUUUUGUCAUUUUAAAUUUUACAUUUUACAAUAAAAGUCAAAAGAUACAAGUUCUGUUUUGUUUAGUUCCUUCCUUAGGCUCUUCAUUACUAAAACUUGUUUGCUGAUUCUUUAUAAUGUACAAUUUACAAUACAUCAAACUUUUUAAUAUAGACUACUAGAUGAUUUUGUGGACUUUUUAUCCUUAAUUGCUUUCAUGAACUAACGAAAAUUUUAGAAGUGGGUCACAUCUGCAGUGAUGCCGCCAUUCUCACUAAAUUUCACUAGUGAGGAAGUUUGUCUAAAUCAUGUUAGAGUCGCUGCUAUCAGUGAACGCAUUCAACAGCUUAUCUCAAACUGGUAAGGGAUACUAAAUUUGUUGAUGACAGAGUGUUCUUGCGUCAGUUUAAGGAUCGAGAAUAUGUAGCAGUUGAAUGUAUGUAUGUUGGCGUUUUACAUUAUGUGAGAUUAUUGUUUAAUUACAGGAUCUUCAUCUCUAAAACAUGUUUUCUGCUAUAUCUUAUCUUAUAAUCUUACAAAAUAUCAACCUCGUCCAUCUUCUAUUUCGAUUGCUUUGCUUCAAAACGCCUGUUCAAAGGUAAAAUGAUAUAUAUUUCAUUUCAUCUAUAUUUUUCUUUUACAAUUUUUAGUGAUGUCAUGUUUAUCAUGUUACAUUCUGAUCCUAACAUCAUUUCAUUGAUCAAUUUCAAACUUCUGUUCUCUUCAUUCCAGGCUCGGGCUCUCUCUCUAGUCUCUAGUGCAACAGAGGACAGAGGAAGGCUGGUGCAUUGAAAUGAAAGUAGAAAACUUCUUCAAAGCCUGGCUGACCACGGAUGUAUGAUAAAAUCAAAUAUAUAUAUAUAUAUAUAUAUAUAUAAUAAUAAUAAUAAUAAUAUUUUAUUUUGAUUUUAGAUUUUUUUUCUGUUUUGUAUUUUGUUUUUAGAAAAUAAUAUUUUUAUUCAUGUUAUUUUCUAUUUGGUUCAAAAUCCUAUUAUUAGGAUAUAUUUCUAAAAAUUAAUAAGAUCAAAUACCGUAUUAUUUUCUGGAAAUUAAUUUGUUAUAUUUAAAUUUAAAAUCUUUUAUAAAUUCAAAUAAUCAUUUAUAAUAAUUUUUUAUCAAAAUCCAUUAUUAUUAGAAUAUCUAUUACAUUUUCUAAAAGAUCUCCUGAUAUUAUGUAAGUUGAAGGUUGAAUAUUAUUUAAUAAUAUUUUUAUUUUAUUUGUAUUUUUAGUUAAACUGCAAAUUUUGCAUGUAAAAUAUGUUAGAUACAUUUUUUUAAAUUACACAUUUUUUUAUUAAAUAUAAAUAUUAUACUAAUAUUAUUUAGUUUUAUAUUGAGAAUUUGAGAGUAGAAGAUUUGCAGAUUUAUAUUAUUUCAAUUUCAAAACUGCAAUCUUGUCUUGAAGAAAGAAUAAAUGCCGGGAAAUACUUGCAAUCUAGCUCAAAAUUGAAGUAGUUCAUAAUCUGAUACAUGUAGAGUCAUGUGUAAUGCAUUUAUGCCUUGGUACUUCUAGAGUUCUAGACCGACAGAGCAAAGAUUAUGUACAUGGAGCACUAAUAUAUAUGCUUUUAGCUUAACAGUAGUCUAUAUUCAUUUUAAUAUGCAAACCUACUUUACAUAUCAUGUUUAAAAAAUAUUUUGAUUUUUUUUAACAUUUAUAUUUAUUCAAAAAAAAAAUUUAAAAAUAAUGUGCAAAAGCAUGAGGUGAUCUCUUUCUCAUCACAUUUUACUCAAUUCUUUAUAUGUUUUCUGAAGUCUCUUGCCAACAUACAUGCAUGAACGUAGUUAUGUAGUAAUAUAAAAAUUCUUGGCCUAAAGAAACACUCACUUUCUGUCUUGUCCUCAUCACCUUUCUAGAAAACAUAGUAAAUAUAUGAGCUGUAACUUAGAAAUUUGAUUUGCAACAAUACACACACAUGAUAAAUACAUUACUAACAUGUUGGUCUUUGUUUCUAUUUCAGCCCUACAAUUUUGAAAAUGGAAAAUAUUUUACACCUAACUACGAACCUGGUUCGAAGAUCAUUCUCUAUGGGGUACUGAUAAUUAACAAACAGAGUUACACUAUUGUCAUAGUAUUAGACAUCACUACUAGUAUAAGAUGGUAGUAAGUUCAUUAUCAAGGUCCAGGCACAAACACUUCUCUAGUUCUGGAAUUUCACCGAACUGAACCAUUUAUUUCCAUUUCUGCAAAUUGCAUAACAUCAACUUUCAAUUUUCAACAUCUUGAUCUUGGUUCAAAGCAGAAAUGAUAAUGAUGAGGAUGUUCAUCACCUGUUUUUUGAAAAUUGUUGUGAUGCUCAUCUUCUUGCAACACCACCUAGUUACUUCAUUAAGUCCUAACAUGCAGAAAAUUGCAUUGUUCCGCUUUAAGCAAAGCUUGACAAUUAGUAUUCCUACAAAUUGCUUCUAUGCUGACAAUUUUUACAACUUUUAUAGUAUUUCUUCACACCCAAAGACAAUGAAUUGGAGCAUGAGUUCCGAUCACUGUGCAUGGGAGGGAGUUAGCUGUGACCACAAGACGGGGAAUGUAAUCGGACUGGAUCUAAGUUGCAGUCAGCUGGAAGGAGCUAUACUUCCUAACAGCACGCUCUCCCAACUCUCUCAUCUCCAGUUCAUCAACCUUNGUUCCUCAACCUUUCACAAAACAACUUUUCUCUCACCAAUAAAUUCCCUCGAGACUUUGGUUUCUUUGCAAAAGGUUUGACGCAUCUCAACCUCUCUUAUACUGGAUUAUCAGGGAGAGUUCCCUCAGGAAUCUCUCAUUUGUAUAAACUGGUCUCACUUGAUCUCACAGAUGAAAAUAGUGCUAAACUUGAAGAUGACGUGUUUAAAUCACUAUUGCAGAAUUUAACUCAUCUCAGAGUGCUUAAUCUUCAAGGGGUUAACAUUUCCUCUGUUUUGCCCGUUAAUAUCUCUUCUUCUUUAAGAGUUCUUAACCUUGGGCAGACUUAUGGUCUACACGGAGUAGUACCCCAGGAGGUUUUCCACCUUCCCAACUUGGAAGUACUUGAUUUAGCAUAUAAUGACGACCUGAGAGCUACAUUACCCAAAGUUAAGUGGGGAAGUAGUGCUACUCUCCAACACCUCCAUCUUUCAAGUAUCAACAUAAUUGGAGGUCUACCUGAUUCAAUAGCCUUUCUGGAGUCCUUAGGCAGUCUGCAACUCUACAUGUGUAAUUUGUCUGGCCUGAUACCAAGAUCCAUCACGCACCUUGGUCAACUUACUUACUUGGGCCUCUCUAUUAAUAAUCUUCAUGACCCAAUUCCAACAUCUUUAGCAAACCUUACAAACCUAAGACUUCUCGCCCUUUCUAAUAACAAGUUCAUCGGAUCACUUCCCCAGUGGUUUUUUCACCAUCCAUCGCUGGAAAAGUUAUAUCUGGGACUUAAUGGGUUCACAGGUCAACUAUAUGAAUUUGAUCCCUCCAAGUCGCAACUUCGUACUUUUAUUUGCGAAAACAAUCAACUCAGUGGACCCAUUCCACAAUCAUUUUCUCAACUUUUGAACCUCACUGAGCUAGACUUUUCAUCAAACAAUUUCAGUGGUGUUUUGGAUUUUAAUUAUAUGUUUUCACGCCUUCGGUACCUGGAUAGUCUUGAUCUCUCCCACAACAGUCUAUCAGUGAGAAAUGCAAGUUUGGACACACUCCCUCCAAAGCUUAGAAAAUUGGGAUUGUCAUCUUGCAAGAUUAAAGACUUUGCACACUUUUCAAAAGAUGCAAAGACCUCGCUAUUUUGGGUAGACCUAUCAAACAAUGAUAUUGAUGGGGAAAUUCCACUUUGGAUGGGGUCAGUGUACUACUAUCUGAAUGUUUCCCACAACAGACUAAUAGGCGGCAUUGAGCAACUACCUUGGAAUAAUAUCAUAUAUCUUGAUCUCCAUUCUAAUAUGCUAAAUGGAUCGUUGCCCGCCUUCAUCUGUGAUUCAAGCAAUCUUGAGAUUCUAAAUCUGUCCAAUAACAAUUUGAGCGGUGUACUUCCAGAUUGUUCAAAAAAAUUGACUUCCAUUAGGGUAUUUGAUCUGCGGAUGAAUAAAAUUCAGGGCAACAUUCCAGCAACCUUGUCAAAUUUCCGUAGUCUGGAAACCAUAAAUUUGAAUGGAAAUAAUUUACAAGGAAGAAUACCUUCUUCUUUUGCGGAGUUUGAAUACCUAAAGCUUCUUGAUCUUGGAAGUAAUCAAAUCAAUGAUACAUUUCCACAAUGUUUGGAAGGUCUUCCAAAGCUUCAGGUUCUUGUUCUGAGAUCAAAUAGAUUUCAUGGUAUAAUAAACACGAGUUCUAAGGUUGAACGCCCAUUUCUCAACUUGAGAAUCAUUGAUAUUUCGUCCAAUGAGUUUUCUGGUCCAUUGCCUGCCAUUUAUUUCAAAAGCUUCAAGGCUAUGAAGAAUGGUGAAGUGAAUAAAAUGGAGCGUAGUUAUAUGGGGGACAACACUUAUUACAGUGAUUCAACAUGUCUAGUAAUUAAGGGAGUAAAGAUUAAAUUGGUAAAAAUUCUAACUAUAUUCACAACCAUUGAUGUUUCGAGGAACAAUUUUGAAGGAGAGAUUGCUGAAUCCAUCGGAAAUCUAGUGGCACUCAGAUUUCUUAAUUUGUCGCACAAUCAUCUCACAGGAGUAAUACCAUCCUCAGUCGGAAAAUUGUCUAUGUUGGAGUCACUAGACCUCUCAUUUAACCGGCUCGAAGGAGAAAUUCCGCAGCAAAUCGCAGGCAUAUAUUCACUUGGAAUGUUAAAUCUGUCUUGCAACCAACUUAGAGGUCAUAUCCCUAAAGGGUCUCAAUUCAAUACAUUUGAAAAUAACAGCUACGUUGGUAACUUUGGGCUGUGUGGACAUCCCUUGUCCAAAGAGUGUAAAAAUGAUACUAUGACCCAAGAAGAAGAAGUUGAGGAGCAAGAAAAAGAUGAAGAUGGGGAUGAUGAUUACUUUUUUAGUGGUUUCACUUGGAAAGCUGUGGUGAUUGGAUAUGGCUGUGGAGUACUGCCGGCAUUUAUUAUUGGAUACUCGAUGUUGGUUGCACGAAAACCAAAAUGGUUUGCUGGAAUUAUUGCCCGGGAACUGGGUCUCAAGAUCAGGAGGAUGGAGAUCAAAAUGCGAUAAAUAAAGAUUUGCUGUAAUCUGUAUGUCAUGUUAAUUGUCUCUCCGUAAAGUCAAUAUUUGUGAAAUGUUAUUUCCCUUUUUUAUCUAUUAAAAUAUACUGUGAUAAAUUUGCAUAUUGGAACCUGACCGUCGUACUUUUUAAGAGAGAACCUGACCUUGGCUUUCACUGCACUCUGGCAAAUGCACAUUUUUUAAAAGUAGACAGGGAAUUAAGAAGAUGAAGUUUGUUAAAAUCAGGGUUUAGUAAGGUAUAAUGAUUUUUUGCUGUACUAGAACCUAGAGAAAAAGGAGUGGCUGAAAUCUGAUGGUUCUUCAAUAGUGAAUUUGAUUUAGUUUUUCCGCACCUGUUUCUUACAUAUUUUACAUAAAGAUUACCUUGUCAACAACUUCUUUCAUGAAAUUACAAUUUGAAAUUUCCUGCCAAUUAUUUGAGUCAUUGUGUUAUGUGUAGAUAUUAAAAAUGCAAGUAUGAAUCACAAUGAUUUUGAAUUUUGAAGUAAACCUACCCCUGAAUUUGCCUCUUCUAAGCUCGAUCUGUCUGAUCUUUGAAACAAUCAUUUUAGUGAUUCAAUUCUACCUUCAAUAGGAAAUACAUCAUCUCUUCAUACAAAAUAGGAAACAGCACACUCACUCUAUAUUGGAUAGAUGGACACAUUUACAAAGAGCUUCAGCUUGGUCAUCUUUAUCUGAGUACUCUUGAGUGCUCAUAACCCGAGAUAAGCUGAUCAGGUCAGCUCUGGUGAAUAACUAAAUCCAUGACCACUUAGUUCACAAUUGUUCUUUCCUUACUACAGGGAUCAAUUUCGUGAUGUCAUGUUUAUGAUGUUACAUUCUGAUCCUAACAUCACUUUAUUGAUCAAUUUCAAACUUCUGUUCUCUUCAUUCCAGGCUCGGGCUCUUCAUCUCUAGUCUCUACUGCAUAUUUAGCAACUCUUUGUAUUCUUGAAACAAAUUAUGGAUUCUCUACUUUACUCGUUCUCGUCUCAUGAACUAAUGUAAAUUCCAAAACGGUGUCACAUUUGGCUUUUAGAUAGAUAAUAGUUUAGGACCUGGUGAUCACAAAAGAAUGCUCGUUUUUCCACAGCAAAGAACAAAGUGCACCGAGACAGUCUUUGAUUAGUUAUAGUUUUAAAAGUUUAGCGAAUUCAGUUUGACGAUGUUGGUGGCAAUGCAGUAAGGAUCUUAAAACAAAAUUACUCCCAAGUCAUGUUUGUAACACUGGUGUUCGUGGGAGAUUCGCUGGAUUAUGGACUAUUUUAUGUUUUUCAGUUUUAGAUAAUUAAUGAUGUCGAAUUCGAUAAUUGAUAGAUAAAUUCCAUCUGCUUCUUUUCUAAUCUAAUAUAGAACUCCAGAUACAAGUAUUCAGAGAUGUAUUGGGAUCAAUAACAUGUAUAAGAUGUAUUAUGAUGUCUUCUCCAGAGGAAGAAGUUCGGAAGCAGUUCUGUUCAAAUGUUCCCGGGCUCAGUUUUCAAAGUCUGUCUUCUUCUUCUACAGCUUGGAGAUGAGAGAAAAGACUAUAAUUAGAUAGCUACUAUCUAAGAUGACCCCUCUGCAUAGACUUUUGUGAAACAAACAACUCAUACCUAAUUUAUGAGAGAAUAAGUUACUUCUUUCAUUUUCUUAAAUUUGCAUUCCAGCUCCAAAAGUAGCUCUUAGAGUCUUGGUCUUCAACUGCUCCAGUUUAUGAAAGUUGAAAAGCUAGUAUCCUACAUUUUCUUCAACAAUUUUUUCAAAACGAGAACAGCGUUUCCCUUAAUUAAUUAAAGAGAGGCAGAAAAUGAUAACUUAUGAGCCGGAUUGUUCAAGUUUGAUAAGACAUUAUGAAGGUCAAGGAGUAAACAAAACACAAUUCCAGCCUAUUUUGUACGGUAGUUUUGGAAUUGGUUUUGCCCAGAGAAAACAAGGUCUAAGAAGCAUCACGGAAACAGGAAACUUCAAUUUUUGCUCUUCUUCCCUCAACUCUAGGGAAAAUACUUAAUUAGUUCUUUAAAGGGUUAAAUUUCAAAUUGGUAACUAAAGUGAAGCCCAUAUCUCACUUUAGUGACUCGACUUAUCGGGGACUCACAUGCAUCAUUAUAGUAAUGAAUUAUUAUAAAUAUGUUAAUUUUUUUAAUUGUAUAGACGGAAACCAAAACGUGGCAUACAUGACUUUGACAUAUAAGAUUAGAUUAUGACCGUUUGACUGUCCUGCCUGGCAACAAACAACACUUACAUUCUAUCUCCAUUCUUCCAAUUUCCGAUGCCAAAUCUAAUAUAUAAUUCAUGGACGAAGAAAAAAUAUCUACUUAUAUCAAGAAUAAAAAUAUAUUUUCUUAUUAAUAAAAAUAUAUACGUAUAUUAUAUAUAGUACUUUAUUUGAUUAAAUAAUUGUUUGUUUGUUUAUUUAUCUUCAAUUCUUUAAUUUUUGUAUAAAAAUUAUAUAAAUAUUUAAUAAGAAUUUAACAUCUAUAGCCAUCAAAAUUUAACUUAUGUAGUUUCUUUUACAAUUUAUAAUUUAAUAUUUGUUUGUAAAUUAAUUUUAUAUUAAAUAACGUAAACAAUUACAUAUACUAUACUUAUUCUUUAUAUCUGACCAUUUUUCUGAAAACACACAUUAAAAUUACUAUACAUAAUAUUUGAUCGGGAAAAAAUCAUAAGAUAUACUAUAUAUUUUGUUUAAUAUAAUAAUGGGUAGAUUUACAGGUACUUUAGAAAACAUGGAGGAUUAUUAUUAUUUUAUAAUAAAAUCAUAUAUAUAUUUUUUAAAAAUUUAUAUCUAAAUUUAUUUAAUAAUAUUGUAUAGAUUAUGUCUGAAUAAUUUAUACUUAAAUUUAUAUAAAAAUAAAAGUAUUUUUUAAUUAAUUGAUCUUUUUAUAUUUAUAUCUUAAAUUUUAAAGUACAGAGAAAAAAAAAAGCUUGAGACAUGUCGGAGAAAUGUCUUUGAACUAGUAUUUUAUUUAACUAAAAAUUUCAAAUCUCUCGGCCGUAUCAUCAGUGCCUUUGUUAAGUAUGUUUUAAUCUGUUUAUAUGUUUUAAUCUGUUUUUAUGUUUUAACUGAGUUGGACUCCACGUAGAUACCACCUUUUUAGAUUAGAAACAGACGUUAGUUUUAAGAUGAUUUCCGUCAGGUCAACGGUCAAACUAACGUUUCUGUAAUAAUUCAUUACUAUAGUGAUGCAUCUGAGUCCCCGAUAAAUCGAGUCAUCAAAGUGAGAUAGAGACUUCACUUUUGUGACCAAUUUGAGAUUUAACCCGUUCUUUAAAUUAGUCGACUUUUCUGAAAAACUCUGUAACUAGUAUGGAGACCCGAAUGUGUAAGCUCUAACGGUAUGGAUUUGCUUGAUCUCUUCGUGGUGAUUCCAUAUCAGAUAUGUCAGUUUUGCAAGAAAUUUAAUAGUCCGGUGCCGAAAAUACCAACAAAUAUCAUUUCACCCCACAAAAUCACAAAAUCUGGACUUGUUACUCAUCAUCAUCCAAAGCAAGCCCGGUCCAAUAAUAUAGUUCUGGCAACUCCAUUGUUGAACACUUUUGAUUAAGUUGGCAACAAGAGGCCCUGUUUUAGAGGUGAUAAUAUACUUUAGAGAGAAGACUUUUAGCAGUGACCCAUUGCAUGAAUAAUUGAAGAAAGAAACUUCAGCAUAUUUGCCUAUCUUAAUCUAUCUGUUUUUCUAGUCAUCAACAGACUCACUCAACAUAUGUAUCAGGCACAAGCUGUUGAAUUUUAUCUGUUCUUAAUUGGUAUAACCACAACUAACUGAGCAAAAUAUUUACAUAAGUUAGUUGAAACCACUGGGGUGUAAGCAGCCAAGUUAAUAAACCAGCAGUUUCUGCAGCUUUCACAACGUUGCUUCAUAUUAUUUUCCCCCUUAUUAGAUGAGCAAUAUAUUUGUGGAAUGGAUGUACCUGAAUUUGGUAUCCGAAGCUUAGUUAUAGAAAUUGUCGAUCAGCUAGUUUGCAACUUACUGAGAAUGCUUUCCAUUGGACUUGAUUUACUCGUAGAGAAGCAGCACGCAAUGUUAAGGAAGGCCUGAUACAUAAUGUAUUUAAGAUAAUGUUUUGCAUCAAUUAUUACAAAAAGCUACUACUUUAAAUUGAUGAACAUUUACUAUAGCAGUACUGUGGUAUUAAAGUGAGUACUAAUAUUAGAUGUUAGUCGAGUUCGAGGAAGUUUUGGAAUUCUUUUUAUUGAGAGUUUUUGCAAAACGUGGUUAAGAAAUUGAGAAAUUUGAGUUUUAAAAUUAGCUGUAAAAAAUAUCGGUCAAUUGUAUUAGAUAUUACAUGCAUUUGAGUUUUAAAAUUAGCUGUAAAACACUUAUAAUUUAUGUCCAAUUUGAGUAAUAAAUCUCUUAUUAGUAAUAAAUCUCUUAUUAGUACUUUCAACUAAAUAUUUCUCCUAAACACUUAUAAUUUAUGUCCAAUUUUCAUAUUAUUUCUUUUAGAAAGACUAUUGUAUUAUUUUGAAUUUUAGUAAUUAGAUUAUUUUUAUUUUUUAUGAAUUUCAAAUUUAAAAAACUUAAUAUUUUUGUCACGCUACUUCUUAUUUGUAAUACAAAUUAUUUCUAGAUAAAAUUAAUAUAUUAAUAAAUAUAGUGUAAACUACAUAUAAUACAAAAAACUUUUUUUGUAUUAUAAUAAAUAUAGUGUACUACAUAUAGUGUAGUACACUUUUUUCACAUGCAAAAAACUGCACUGUUUCGGUUUAAGCAAAGCUUGACAAUCAGGACUCCUGGCUGGAAUUGCGAGUAUUAUUCCUACGAAGAAGAUGAUGUUCAUGAUAUCCCUUCACCCCCAAAGACAAUGAAUUGGAGCAUGAAUUCUGAUUACUGCAUGUGGGAUGGAGUUAGCUGCGACGAGGAUACAGGGCACCUAACCGGAUUCAAGCUGCAGUCAUCUGGUGCAUUGGAAUGAAAUUAUAGAACUUCUUCAGAGCCUGAUGCUCUCGAGGAUGCACUAAUGAACAAGCCUAAUGAUGAUCAUGAGUCAUAACUCCGUCCUUGAAUAAAGUAUCAUGAAACAUAUUUUGUAUUACAUUUUGUAUUAUUGGAAACUUGAUUUGAAACCAAAAUAGUUUGGUGGAAUCAUUGCCAGGGAAUUGGGUCUGAAGAUAGAGGAUGGAGAUUAAAUUCCGAUAGAUAAAGAUUUGUGGUAACGUUUUAUGUCAUGUUAACUGUCACCCAUGUAGUGAAAAUAACUUGAAAUGAUGAAAUUUAUAUUAGGAAGGGACCAGAUUAGCUGCACAAUGCAUUCAGUUCGCAGCAAAGAAGAUUUUGUUGAGAGGGUUUGAAGGAAAGGACAUGAUUCACAACAUAGACUUAUAAUUCAAUAACAGAGUAAUUCUUCAGAGCCAGAGUCUCUUCCAGACGCUCUCUUCUAAUAAAUAUCCGGUGAAGUAAAAGCAUUAGUCAUCACUCUGCACUUGCUCUAAGUUUUGAUACAAACAUCUUUUUGUGAUGUUAACACUCUCGUAUCAGUUAUUGUACUCAUAGUUAUCUGGUAUGGGCGAAAAAUAUGUGCGUCGGCCAUGAAGAGUCAUGAUUUAUUGAUUCUUUUGUUAAAUGUUUAUUACUAAAUAACAACAUACUCAGACACACAUAUAUACAUGCAUUCACAAAAUUUGAACUCUCAGACUUUUUUUUUAUCGAGUAGCUGGGGAUAUCUGAUUCUUGCUUAUUUUUCAGACUUGAUGGUUUACAAAGGAUUUACAAAUUGAUUUUGUUCAAAUAUUUAACACAAGCCCAUCAUCAUUAUCCAACACAAGCCCGGUCCAGUAUAUAGUUCUGGCAACUCCAUUGUUGAACACUUUUGUUGAAGUUGGCACAGGUCAAAAAUGUAUAUUUCUUCCAAGAGAUUACAUCUCUUUUCUUCAAAAUUUAUUGUAGUUUCAAAAUGUUUCAAAAUUCAUUAUUUUUCCACUCCUUUGAAUGCCAUUCUACAAUCCACAUAUCAGUACUCAGACUUUCACCAGUGAACCAUUGCAUAGAUAAUUGAAGAAAGAAACUUCAACAUAUUUGCAUAUCUUUAUCUAUCUUUUUUUCUAGUCAUCAACAGGCACAAGCUGUUGAUUUUUAUAUGUUCUUAAUUGGUAUAAGCAUUUAAGGUGAGUGUUGAUAUUUCUCACUAAUCUUCUUCUGCUCUAAGUGACAUAUUAUUACAAUCCACAAAUUAGUAGACAGACUAAUAUGGUUAGUUGAGACCAUCAAUCUGGAGAACAGACUAAUACAUGUGUAGUAAUCUGAUCAUCAUUUAUUUGAUUACAAUAGAAAUUCGGCUUUGUUUAGUUCCAUCCUCGGGCUCUUCAUUUCUAGAACAUAUUUGCUGAUACUUUUUAUUGUACAAUUUAGAAUAUUCCAUAAAAAUUUAAAUUCGGUGCUAGAUGAUUUUAUGUCCGGCCUGUUUUCAUUCCAUUCAUGAACUAAUGGAAAUUUUGAAAUUGGGUCAUAUUAGGCAGUGAUGCCACCUUUCUGGACCUGCAUUUCAUGACCACAAACUCCUAUUGUGCCAAAAAAUUCCAGCUGUUUCGUGAGAUUUUUCUACGUGCUCUUUUGUUCGGACUUGUUUGCUGAAUCCCACAAUAGACAAUAUUGAUGUUAACAACUCUUGCGUCAGUUACUAGACUCGUUGUUAGUAGCCCAUUCUUUACGGCAGACGUGGAAUUUACUUGAAGAAAUGAAGGUGUAAGAAAGUUGAGAACAUUUUGUUGAUUAUUCCCUUCCCUAGAAACUGCACUCCGCCAUCAAAGUAUCUUUCAAAGACUCCAGCAUCAUUUCUUGAUUAUCAAAGUCUUCGUCUUUGCCAUCUCCUGCUCUGAAAGUGCUUCUAUUGCAGACCACAUAUUAGUAGACAGACUACUAAAAUUCAUCUAAAAUGACCUCUCUGCGUGGGCUCUUUUGAACAAUCAGGGUUGGACAUGAUUCUACACGCAUCAGAGAAAAACUAUCAGCUCGCUAAAAACCUCUCUGCAUCAACUCUAUUGAAAAAAGAAACUAUGGCUCAUACAGUUUAAGUUGAUAUCAAAUAGUAAAUGAGAAUACUUGCAGUUUUAAAUUACUGCACACUAUUUUUUUAACGAAAAUAUGUGCAGUUUUAACAUAGUCUAAUUAUUUUCUUGAUGACGGCUAUGCAAAUUGUGAUAGUUGAAAAUCUUUUUAUGGUCUUUGACAAGCAUCAAGGAAAUGCAGGAAGGUUAUUUAUCGGCUGAUUAAUCUCUUUCUUUGUUUCUGAAAUUCCUUACAUUAGAUCUGUUGAGAGUCUUUACUGGGGAUAAUCUUCUGUCACUGGAUCUGUUGAGGUAACUUUGGGAUAAAGUACUGUCUCUAUUACAUGGAAGUUUGAACUGUUUCAUAUUUUUUAGACAACUAAAUGCACUUACAAACUCGACUUGUGUUUGAAAAGGUUCAAACACUCGAACCUUGAAAAGAACGAGAGAGAUAUUAUUGGAUCCAGAGGUCUUUAGUCAGGUCUAGUGCUUUCUUAAAUUAAUUUCCUAAAGUUUCAGUUAAGAUGUGAACCAAAGCUCUUGGAGGUGGUUCUCAUUGCUCUCUUUGUUCCAAAUUGGACUUAAAAAUUGUUGUGUGAUCCCAAGUUGCGGGUUUACUGAUGAGAACAAUAAAUAUUCAACUGAUGAUACCGAAGCGGCAGCAAUACUGCAAUUUCUUGUAAUAAUCAGAAGUACGAGUACAGAGCAAUGUCAAUAUGCUGGAAACUAUUCAGGGAGCCAUCACAGCUUAAUACGCCAAAAUACAAGACAAUGCAUAUGAACAUGGAACACUUGUUUUCUUUAUCUAAAAUUUUCUUUUGUAAAACAAAGCACCUUAUGUUGAUUAAUCAAUGAUAGAAAGUGAUAUUGCCGUAAACAGGUCAAGAAUUCAUUUUGUAGCUGUCUUCUUGCUCUUUUUAUUUUUCUUGCAUAUACUGAUAUACACUGAAUAUAGGUUUCUUUCAUUUCCUUGAAAUUGCAUUUUUGGAAGUAGCUCUCCAGACUCAUUCCCGUCACUUCUCAAAGUCUUAUUCCUCGUCAAUACUACAUACACAUAAUAUCACACAUAUUUGCUCAUGCUCAGAUGGGUUUUUCUUACAAACCACACAUGUUCACUUCUCAGAGUCUUAGUCCUCGUCAAUGUAUCUAUGUAUCUAUGUAUAUAUUAUAAAUCCUGAAUAGUGCCACGUCAUCAAUGCCACAUAUUUCAAAAAAAAGUCCACAUUGAUCCCACAGAUUUUAGAUUUUGCCAUGUCAUUAUAAUUUCCCUUAUUGAUUUAAGCGUAUCAGAAUAAUCAAUCACAUAUCUUUGAAUUCCUAAAAUUGAGUGUAAUCAAUGACCGACAAUUAUAUUAAAUUUUGCAUGGUAAUGCAAUAACUACAUUCCAUAAUCAUAGCAUUUUUUGAAUGUUAAAUUUGUACGGAACUAAUUAAAAUUGAAAAAGAUAAUUAUAUUGAAUAUACUGCCACAAUUGUUAAGCUUAUCAUGUAUCAUAUAACUACGCUUUAAUUAUAUUAACUUAUAUAUAAAUAAAUGAAGUGCUUAAAAAUUAAAAUUGAAAUUUAUAAUUAUAUUUUUAUUUAAUAUUUAAUAUCCGAAAUUCGUCUAAAAUUUAGCUAUGUUACAAAUAUGUUGCUUUUUAAUUUUCGGAAUGAUAUAUAUUACAUUUUCUAACAUAGUGAAAUAAGUAUUAUAAAAAGUAUUUUUAUAAAAAUAUUACGUCAUUAAUUAGUAUGUAUUAAGCAUUUUAUGUAGGUCAACUUAAUCAUAGUAGAUAUGUACUAUUACUUAGAGACAGCAAUCGGGUCGAUCGAAACGGGUUUCGCAAAUUCCAAAAUUGAAUCCAAACUAUAUUAUAAAUCCUGAACAAUGCCAAAUCAUCAAUGUCACAUAUUUCAAAAAAAAACCAAGUCAAUGGCAUCUAUUUUAAAUUUUGUCAUGUAUUAAUAGUACGUAUUAAACAUUUUAUGUAGGUCACCUUGAUCAUAACCAAUCAGAUGUCCUAAGAUUCCUAAAAUUGUGCGUAAUCAAUGGGUCGGUCGAAACGGGUUUCACAAAUACCAAAAUCGAACCCAAAUUAUAUUAUAAAUCCUGAACAGUGUCAAAUCAUCAAUGCCACAUAUUUCAAAAAAAAAGUCCACAACAAAAACGCCUAUUUUAAAUUUUGACGUGUCAUAUCAUAUUCCAUAUUUAUUUUAGACCAAUCACAUGUCCUAAAAAUCCUAAAAUUGGGCGUAAACAAUGACUGACAAUUAUAUUAAAUUUUGAAUGGUAAUGCAAUAACUACAUUCCAUGUAUCAUAGCAUUUUUUGAAUUUUGAAUUUGUACACAACUAAUGAAAAUUGAAGAAGAUAAUUAUAUUGAAUAUACUGUCACAAUUUUUAAGCUUAUCAUGUAUCAUAUAACUAAGCGUUAAUUAUAUUAAUUUAUAUAUAAAUAAAGUGUUUAAAAAUUAAAAUUGAAAUUUAUAAUUAUAUUUUUAUUUAAUAUUUAAUAUCCGGGAGUCGUCUAAUAUUUAGCUAUGUCACAAAUAUAUCAAUUUUUAAUUUUGGGAAUAAUACAUAUUAAAGUUUCUAACAUAGUGAUAUAGAUAUUAUAAAAAGUAUUUUUAUAAAUUUUAAUAUUACGUCAUUAAUAGUACGUAUUAAACAUUUUAUGUAGGUCACCUUGAUCAUAGUAGAUAUGUAUCACUGUUACAGAUAGCAAUCGGGUCGGUCGAAAUUGGUUUCGCAAAUACCAAAAUUGAACCCAAACUUGAAAAUUUUAGGAAUCUUAAACCUGAACUUGAAGGAUAUUACACGAGUAAUUAUUAUUUAUUCAACAAAUAAUAUUAAAUAUAUAUAAAAUAUUAAAUAUAAAUAUCUUAAUUUUGUUUUAAUUUUAUUAUAUAUUAAAUAAUAAAUAUAUUAUAAAAGAUAUUAUGUAUGUAUGUAUGUAUGUAUGUAUGUAUGUAUGUAUGUAUGUAUAUUUGUAUAUUCGGGUUCGGGUUCGAAAUGAGUUCCGGAUUUUCAGGUCGGGUUCGAAUCAAACCUGAUUCUGCCUGGUCCGAAAAUUAUUCGGGUUUAAAAACAAAUUUUUAUCCGAAACCCUAUAAUUUGGGUUUGGUAAAACACAAUCCGCUCGGUACGAGUUAGACUCGGGUUGGGUAGAAUUGUGACUGCCCAAUACCUCAUGAAACAAGAAUGUAGUAUAACUAACUAUCAUUAUAGUGGAUGGUCAUUCAAAUCUAUUUAUUCGAUUUGACGUAUAAUUUUGAUGUUCGUAUUAACAUAAUGUUUUGUUUGAUAUAUAAUUUUAGUUUAAUAUUGUUUGACAUAUAAUUUCACUUGAAUUUUCUUGAUAUAUAAUAAACUUAAGUAUAAGAGAGUUAUGUCUAAUAUAAUUUUUUUCUUCCUACUUUAUACUUUAUUUGAAAAUUCAAAUAUAAUUAUUUAUUAAAUGUAUUUGUGAAAUAAUAACAACAAGAUUCAAUAAAAAUUUGAAGCCCGUGCGCGGAGCGCGGGCAAAAACACUAGUAGAGAUAAUAUCUCACCAAUUUGCUUACAAACCACACAUGUUUUAGUUAUAUUUUUUGGUUUGGUACUCUCUUUUGGUACUACAAGUCUACAAAUGUGGAGUUUAUUAGUAUUAUAUUGUUAAAUAGUUUCAAAUACUAAAAACACUUAUAACAAUCCAUUAUCAUAUAAUAUUUCAUUAAAAAAUUAUAAUGAUAUUAUAAAUAAGAUUAUAAAUAUACAAUUUUGAAUAUCUUCUUUUAAUAAGAAUCUUCAUAUAACUUUUUUUACUUUAACGUGUUCUAUUUCAAUAUAAACACGAACCAUUACAUAACUCUUUUUAACUCUAAUCUUAAAUAUUAUUGUUGUCAAAAAAAUCAAGAUUACAAAAUUACGUUGAAAUUCGAUUGAUUAGAUUACUGAAUUUUUCAAAGGUAAUACUCGAUCAACUAUGUUUGGAAAAGAUUUAAAUUUUCUGAUUUUUUUUAUUUUUAAAUCUACGUGUACUAAAUUCGGAUUAAAUGUACUAAAAUCAUGAGGGGUUAUCCAUUUUCGAGUAAUCUGGAGAAAAUAUAUUCAGUUGAAUAAUAUAAUUUAAUUAAAAUUCAAUCCAUUGUUACUAAAAUAUUAAUAAAAUGAUGUUAAAAUUUAAAUUAUAAAUAAUAAAUUAUGAACUAUAUAUCCGCCCGUACUUCACACGGGUUAAAAGGCUAGUAUCAUAUUAUUUUCUAAAGAUUUGGUGCAGCCCUGAUAUUUCGCAACACGGAACCCUGAUAAUUGAUAUGCAGUGUUCCAACGUUCUUGCGGACCAUGUGUAAGUAGAAAAAUUAUCUAAAAUGACCUCUAUCCAAUGUGCGUGCAUGGACCGAACUCCGAAGUAUCUCAUACUUCAUGCAUGUACGGUGACAAACCUGACUCGCGUACAUCAUAUAAAAAAUUUCCAUGUAGUUAAAUUGACCUAUCUAUAUCACGGUGUGUCGGAUAAGCAUAUGAAAGUUGAAGAAACAAAGCUUUAAUAAAGUUGAGAAGAUUUCAAUACUAAUUAUUUCCCAAAUCUCCAUCUCCAACUUUAAACUCCUUUUGAAGAUAUUCAGUUGAAGAAAAAACUCGCAAAUUGUUUUAUUUUAAAAAAGUACAAAAAAUUGACAUCCUCUUCCAUUUCUUAAAACUUCCAUUUCUUAAAACACUGAUCAAAUCGUAUCAUAUUAAGUUUUAAUUCUGAUAAAAACUUAUUAUAACAUGAUUGAUUAAUUUAAAAAAUCUUCAUUUAUCGUGUACUAAAUAUUUUAAUUCUCUAAAAAAUGUUUAUAUAAUCGGAGAAUAUUUUUAAUCAAAUUACUAAAAAGAAUUUAAUAUUUAUGACCAAAAAAAUUAUUAUUUCUUCAAGUUACUUCUUAUUUGUAGUAUAAAUUAUUUACAGAUAAAAUUAAUAAACGAAUAAAAAAUAAUAUAUUUUAAUUAAAUAUAAACUCUCCACAUUUUGUGCUAUAUAUAUGCUAGAGAUGUUAAAUAGAUCUAAUCCCAAACAAAAUUUUUGAAGGAAAAAUGAAAAUGCAAAAUUUCAUCCUCUGUUUUUUCACGAUCAUUGUGAUGCUCGUCUUCUUGCAGCACAACCUAGUGGCUUGUUCAUUAAGCCCCCACUUGCAGAAACUUGCCUUGUUCCACUUUAACCAAACCUUAACAAUCAGUACUAGUAGCUACCUAGUGGAUUGCGAGUACCAUUCCUACGAAGAGAAUGCGCUUUAUUAUAUUCCUUCACGGGCAAAGACAAAGAAUUGGAGCAUGAGUUCUGAUCACUGCACAUGGGAUGGAGUUAGCUGCGACCACAAGACAGGGGACGUUAUCGGACUCGAUUUAAGCUGCAGUCAGCUGGAAGGAGCCAUUCUUCCUAACAGCACUCUCUUCCAGCUCUCUCAUCUCCGCUUCCUCAACCUUUCUGGGAACGACUUUUACGAUCAGUUCCCUCAGGAAUUUGGUUUCUUUGCAAAAGGUUUGACGCAUCUCAACCUCUCUAAUACUUAUUUAUCAGGGAGAGUUCCCUCGGGAAUCUCUUAUUUGCAUAAACUGGUCUCACUUGAUCUCAGUCGCAACCAUGAGGCUAAACUUGAAGAAGAAGUGUUUAAAUCAGUGUUGCAGAAUUUAACUCAUAUCAGAGUGCUUAAUCUUAAUAGAGUUAACAUCUCCUCUGUUUUGCCCGUGAAUAUCUCUACUUCUUUAAGAGUUCUUCAAUUGAGGUAUACUGAUAUACACGGAGUACUACCCCAAGAGGUUUUCCACCUUCCCAACUUGGAAUUUCUUGAUUUAUCAUUUAAUCCUGCCCUGAGAGCAACAUUACCCAAAGUUAAGUGGGGAAGUAAAGCUACUCUCCGACACCUUCUUCUUACAUACAUCAACAUAGAUGGAGGUAUACCUGACUCUAUAGGCUUUUUGGAGUCAUUAGUCACUUUAGAUCUGAUCGCCUGUAAUUUGUCUGGGCCGAUACCAAGAUCCAUUGGGCAACUCGUUCAACUUACUCUCUUGGACCUGUCUGAUAAUAAUCUCAGUGGCCCAAUUCUAUCUUUUUUAACACGCCUUGCAGACUUAAGAUAUAUCUCCCUUGACCGUAACAAUUUUACUGGUCCGUUUCCCUCUUUUCUUGCCCACUCCAGUAAACUAGUUGAGUUGUAUCUUGAUAGUAAUAGCUUUACUGGAUCCAUACCUCGUUCGUUGUUUCACCAUCCAUCCUUAGAGUACUUGUUUCUGGAUAGUAAUGCAUUCACGGGUCCACUACAUGAAUUUGAUUCUUCUUUCUCACGAUUGCGAUCUUUUUCUUGUUCCCACAAUUCACUCUAUGGAUCCCUUCCACAUUCAUUUUCUCAACUUGUCAAUCUCACUAGCCUAGAUUUAUCAUCAAACAAUUUCAGCGGGGUUUUGGAUUUGGAAAUGUUUUCAGGCCUCGAAUCUCUACAAUAUCUUGGACUUUCUCAUAACAGUCUUUCAGUGACAAGUACAAUCAGGGGCACUCUCCCUCCUACGCUUAACUACUUGGGCUUGUCAUCUUGCAACAUGAAAGAGUUUCCUCACUUUUCAAGAGAUGCAAACAUCUCCCUGGAGUUUGUAGACCUAUCAAACAAUAACAUUGAAGGGGAAAUUCCACACUGGAUUGGGUCAGUGUGGUACUCUGAGUAUUAUAACUUGCCCUAUCUGAAUCUUUCUCACAACAAACUAAUAGGCGGUCUUGAGCAACUGCCUUGGGGUUAUCUUACUUAUCUUGAUCUCCAAGACAAUAAGCUGAAUGGAUCGUUGCCCACCUUGAUGUGUAAUUCCAGCUCUCUUGAGAUUCUAAAUCUCUCUCACAACAAGUUGAGUGGUGUACUACCCAUUUGUCAUACAAAUUUGACUCCGCUUUCGGUUUUGGAUCUGCGGAGGAAUAACAUUCAAGGAAACAUUCCAGCAACCUUGUCAAAUUUCUGUAAUCUGGAAACUAUUAAUUUGAAUGGAAACCAAUUAGAAGGAAGCAUUCCUUCUUCUUUUGCUC